rnacentral:rRNA from 1 species
CCCUUAGAUGUCCUGGGCCGCACGCGCGUUGCACUGAUGCAUUCAACGAGCUUAUAACCUUGGCCGAGAGGCCUGGGCAAUCUUGUUAACGUGCAUCGUGAUAGGGAUAGAUUAUUGAAAUUAUUAAUCUUGAACGAGGAAUUCCUAGUAAACGCAGAUCAUCAAUCUGCAUUGAUUACGUCCCUGCCCUUUGUACACACCGCCCGUCGCACCUACCGAUUGGAUGGUCCGGUGAAGCCUCGGGAUUGUGGUUCUUGCCGCUUUAUUGUGGCGUGACCGCGAGAACUUGUCUAAACCUUAUCAUCUAGAGGAAGGUGAAGUCGUAACA